rnacentral:rRNA from 1 species
UUGACCUCGGAUCANGUAGGGAAUACCCGCUGACUUAAGCAUAUCAUAAGCGGAGGAA